CAAAAGCGUAGUCCGCUCGCCGGCUCUUCCUCUGCUCCCAUUGUCGCCUGUCACUUUUAGUGUGAGGUCACGUCUCCGAUCGGGCGACUGGUUGGGUGCUGCUCCGUGCUGUGUGUGCACGCUGCUGUGGGUUGAUCGGCAGUGUUGCUGUAGGCCGGUGGUGGUGGUGCUGGUGGUCUGGUGGUGGCAUCCUCCCGUCUUGUCUUGCUGUGUCCCUGGGAGCGGGUUUUCGUCACUGAGAGUGUCUGCCACGUGUGCUUGGUGAUUAUUGUGGUGUUUUUCUUUGGUGGAUCCCUCCCCUGCCCUAGCCUUCGUCCACUCACUUUGGCCUCAGCCCUGUUAAGGUUCUUUUCCCCCCAUUUUUGUUGGUGUGAAUGAGUUUUAUUGAAGUUUUUAGGAUUAUUGUUUAAUAAAAGAAACAUAUGUUAACUUGGAA